rnacentral:rRNA from 1 species
GACGAACGCUGGCGGCGUGCCUAAUACAUGCAAGUAGAACGCUGAAGGAGGAGCUUGCUUCUCCGGAUGAGUUGCGAACGGGUGAGUAACGCGUAGGUAACCUGCCUGGUAGCGGGGGAUAACUAUUGGAAACGAUAGCUAAUACCGCAUAACAGUAGAUAUUGCAUGAUAUCUGCUUGAAAGGUGCAAUUGCAUCACUACCAGAUGGACCUGCGUUGUAUUAGCUAGUUGGUGGGGUAACGGCUCACCAAGGCGACGAUACAUAGCCGACCUGAGAGGGUGAUCGGCCACACUGGGACUGAGACACGGCCCAGACUCCUACGGGAGGCAGCAGUAGGGAAUCUUCGGCAAUGGACGGAAGUCUGACCGAGCAACGCCGCGUGAGUGAAGAAGGUUUUCGGAUCGUAAAGCUCUGUUGUAAGAGAAGAACGAGUGUGAGAGUGGAAAGUUCACAGGUGUGACG